rnacentral:rRNA from 1 species
GGACUACACGGGUAUCUAAUCCUGUUUGCUCCCCACGCUUUCGCGCCUCAGCGUCAGUCUCGGUCCAGAGCGCCGCCUUCGCCACCGGUGUUCUUCCCAAUAUCUACGAAUUUCACCUCUACACUGGGAAUUCCACGCUCCUCUCCCGAUCUCUAGCAAUCCCGUUUCAAGCGCAAUUCCCAGGUUGAGCCCGGGGCUUUCACGCCUGACAAAUGAUCGCCGCCUGCGCGCCCUUUACGCCCAGUAAAUCCGAACAACGCUCGCCCCCUUCGUAUUACCGCGGCGGCUGGCAC